rnacentral:rRNA from 1 species
CCUACGGGGCGCUGCAGUAGGGAAUAUUCCACAAUGAGCGAAAGCUUGAUGGAGCGACACAGCGUGCACGAUGAAGGUCUUCGGAUUGUAAAGUGCUGUUAUACGGGAAGAACAUUUGCAAUAUGAAAUGAUUGCAGACUGACGGUACCUUGUCAGAAAGCGAUGGCUAACUAUGUGCCAGCAGCCGCGGUAAUACAUAGGUCGCAAGCGUUAUCCGGAAUUAUUGGGCGUAAAGGGUUCGUAGGCUGUCUUGCAAGUCUGGAGGGAAAUGCACGUGGUCAACCCAUGCAUGGCUUUGGAAACUGGAGGACUAGAGAGCAGGAGAGGGCGGUGGAACUCCAUGUGUAGCGGUAAAAUGCGUAGAUAUAUGGAAGAACACCAGUGGCGAAGGCGGCCUCCUGGCCUGUUGCUGACGCUGAGGCACGAAAGCGUGGGGAGCAAAUAGGAUUAGAUACCCCAGUAGUC